GACGAACGCUGGCGGCGCGCUUAACACAUGCAAGUCGAACGGAAAGGCCUGCUUUCCCUUGUGGAUUGCGGGUACUCGAGUGGCGAACGGGUGAGUAACACGUGAGUGAUCUGCCCCCAACUUGGGUAUAAGCCUGGGAAACUGGGUCUAAUUCCCGAUAGGACUGCAGGGUGGUGCCUGUGGUGGAAAACGAUUUUCUAGUGGUUGGGGAUGAGCUCGCGGCCUAUCAGCUUGUUGGUGGGGUAAUGGCCUACCAAGGCGGCGACGGGUAGCCGGCCUGAGAGGGGGGACGGCCACAUUGGGACUGAGAUACGGCCCAGACUCCUACGGGAGGCAGCAGUGGGGAAUAUUGCACAAUGGGCGGAAGCCUGAUGCAGCGACGCCGCGUGGGGGAUGACGGCCUUCGGGUGGUAAACUCCUUUCGACCGCGAGGAAGCCACCUGGUUGGAAGGGUGGUGACGGUAGUGGUAGAAGAAGCACCGGCUAACUACGUG
rnacentral:rRNA from 1 species